rnacentral:rRNA from 1 species
GACGAACGCUGGCGGCGUGCUUAACACAUGCAAGUCGAACGGAAAGGCCCUGCUUUUGUGGGGUGCUCGAGUGGCGAACGGGUGAGUAACACGUGAGUAAACUGCCCUUGACUUUGGGGUAACUUCAGGAAACUGGGGCUAAUACCGGAUAGGAGCUCCUGCUGCAUGGUGGGGAUUGGAAAGUUUCGGCGGUUGGGGAUGGACUAGCGGCUUAUCAGCUUGUUGGUGGGGUAGUGGAUUACCAAGGCUAUGACGGGUAGCCGGCCUGAGAGGGUGACCGGCCACAUUGGGCCUGAGAUACGGCCCAGACUCCUACGGGAGGCAGCAGUGGGGAAUAUUGCACAAUGGGCGGAAGCCUGAGGCAGCAACGCCGCGUGCGUGAUGCCGGCCUUCGGGUUGUAAACCGCUGUCGCCUGUGACGAAGCGAGAGUGACGGUAAUGGGUAAAGAAGCACCGGCUAACUACGUG